rnacentral:rRNA from 1 species
CCUACGGGUGGCAGCAGUGAGGAAUAUUGGUCAAUGGACGAGAGUCUGAACCAGCCAAGUAGCGUGAAGGAUGACUGCCCUAUGGAUUGUAAACUUCUUUUAUAAAGGAAUAAACCGAGGCACGUGUGCCCUUUUGCAUGUACUUUAUGAAUAAGGAUCGGCUAACUCCGUGCCAGCAGCCGCGGUAAUACGGAGGAUCCGAGUGUUAUCCGGAUUUAUUGGGUUUAAAGGGUGCGUAGAUGGGUUGUUAAGUCAGUUGUGAAAGGUUGCGGCUCAACCGUAAAAUUGCAAUUGAUACUGGCAGUCUUGAGUACAGUUGAGGUAGGCGGAAUUCGUGGUGUAGCGGUGAAAUGCUUAGAGAUCACGAAGAACCCCGAUUGCGAAGGCAGCUUACUAAACUGUGACUGACAUUGAUGCUCGAAAGUGUGGGUAUCAAACAGGAUUAGAUACCCCUGUAGUC